AGUUACUUUGCUCCUUAGUGCCUUUUGGUGUCUUUGGAGCAAGUAGAACUAUGUUAAAAAAAUAUAUAUUCUUCACUGUAUCUCACUGCUCAUUGUACUGAAAGUACAAUCAUGCUCAAUAUAAAAUGUGUUUAUUGAAAAAAGAAAAAGAGGUGGAGACUGACAAGUAGCUGAUCAAAGCCAUAACACAUAUGGAAUAUAUAGGCGAGUAUAUAGAGGCAGGAAAUCCACAGCAGGUCUCCAUUCGUAAAUGCAUUCAAGAUUCAUGUAACAUGAGGUACGUACAACAUAUGGCUGUAUAUACAUUUUGUAGACUGGCAAGGAGCAAAUCAUUAUAAUUCAGUUAUCUAACCAGUAAAAUAUUCUCGUUAAAACAGACGUAAAUUUUUAAUUAGGUAUUUUCUGAUAUUUAAGGGGAAAAGGAUGUGAGUAAGAAUGUGUGAGAGUAAAAAGAUUUUGCACAAUGGAAUUAAGAAAACAAUUUUUUCACAAAACACAGUAAUGUGGAUCUUCUCCUUAUUUGCAGAAUGAGGGUUUUGCUUAUCGUCACCACUCUUGUGGCUCUGGCUAGUGCAGCCAGCGUCUCUCUCGAAGACAUGGAGUUCACUGCCUGGAAACUGAAGUUUGGUAAGAUCUAUAAGUCUGUGGAGGAGGAGUCUCAGCGUAAGAUGACUUGGCUGGAAAAUCGUAAGCUGGUCCUGGCACACAACAUGCUGGCUGAUAAGGGCAUUAAGAGCUACAGACUUGGCAUGAACUACUUUGCAGACAUGAGUAACAAGGAGUACAGAGAGUCUGUGCUUAAGGGCUGCCUGGGACCCUUUAACAGGACCAAGAAACACAGUGCAGCGGCAUUCUUCCAGCAGACAGCUGGAGCUGUUUUGCCAGAUACUGUGGACUGGAGGGAGAAGGGCUAUGUGACUCAGGUUAAGGACCAGAAGGAUUGUGGCUCUUGCUGGGCCUUCAGUGCGACAGGGUCACUGGAAGGUCAGACAUUUGGGAAGAAGGGGAAUCUGAUUUCUCUGAGUGAGCAGCAAUUGGUGGACUGCUCAUACAGAAACCUGGGUUGCAGUGGAGGCUGGGUCGAUCGAGCCUUUGACUACAUUAUCAACAAUGGGGGAAUUGACACAGAGGAGUCCUACCCUUAUACAGCCAGCGAUGGGUAUUGCAGGUUUAAUCCAGCCACUGUGAGAGCUACCUGCAAUAGCUAUGUAUAUGUAAGAAGUGGAGAUGAGAACGCUCUACAGCAAGCCGUGGCCACCAUUGGACCCAUUUCUGUCGCAAUAGAUGCAGGUCAGAGUUCCUUCCAGCUCUAUGAAUCUGGUAUCUACUAUGAGCCAAAGUGUAGCAGAACUAACCUGAACCAUGCUGUCCUGGCUGUUGGUUAUGGCACAGAAAUUCUUUUCAUGUUUUACAAACAAGACUACUGGCUGGUCAAGAACAGCUGGGGUCUUCAGUGGGGUGAAAAUGGCUAUAUCAAGAUGGCAAGGAACGAUUUGAACCAGUGUGGCAUUGCCACAAACGCCAUUUUCCCUCUGGUUUAAAGGUGGCUGUAAUACUCCAUGGCUCCAUGGCUGCAGCAACUACAUGAGUUGAUUAUGAACACAUGAUACAUGUACAGGGGAAGCAGUCUAAGCAGAGAUGCCCACCUCCACCAGACAAGAGACAUAAUCUCUCCAUCUGAUCUAGUGGGCAUGCUCAAAAUUCUUCCCUAAGGAGGUGUCCAAGAGGCAUCCUAGCCAGAUUCCUCAACCACCUUAACUGGCUUCUUUCGAUGCAUAGGAGCAGCGAUUCUACUUUGUUCUCCACCUGAAUGUCCGAGCUCAUCACCCAUAGAUUUAAUUAACUGUAUCUUUUUACAUACUUUACAUACAUUUUAGAUAGAUACUGUACUGUGUCUAAAUAUUUAAACAUUAUGCUCAUCACUGAAACACAUGCAGUAAUAUUAUGGCUAUUUUACAGUGAUAGAGAUUUUUAUUCCUGAACUGUCCACUCACAUUAGGUUGGGUUAUUGAGGUUAGAUUAAUCUAACCUCAAUUACCCAACCUAAUGUGAUGAUCACUUGAUCGGAUGGGUUUAAUCAUUAAAUUCAUCCAAUAAAGUGAUCAAGUGAUCAUCUGUAUAGGCUAAUAACUAUAUGAACACAAUCAGAAAUAGAAAAGUUUACAAUGGGACAUUUCUGAAUAAAAAAAAUGAAUCAGGAAGAAAACUACAGAUACACUAGUUGUAUACUCUUUAUAUUGCACAGUUUUAUAUGGAGUUGUUUCCUUUUUCGAAUAUCUUUGAUUCUGGACUAAACCUGUCCUUCUUUUAUUCCCUUGCUAUUCACGUCAUUCAAUGAUACAUGACAAGAAAAAAACAUGGAUCCUUAAGGGUCAUGUCCGCCAAAGUGUAGAAUCAUCUCAUGUUAAAAUGAUGCAAUUCCUAUUAAAUUUUUUAUUUGCGA